rnacentral:lncRNA from 1 species
CGAGUAAUGACAAAACCAUAUCAAGUCAAUACGAAACCAUAUCGUGUAAUAUCGAAAUAUCAUUAAGUAAUGACUAUUCCGUAUUGAGUUAAAGACAAAUUAUCAUGAACGUAAUAAUAAAACAACAUAAAGUUAUAUCAGAGUUCCACAUAAGACAGCUUUUGCGUUCCAUAGCCGUCGCUAGAUUUAGCUGUGAAUGGCGAUAAUCCGGUGAAGUAUUCUGAACAUAUGAAUCAACAACAAAAAUAAUUGAAGUCGGUAAUGUUGAACACAGAAAGUUCGUAACGAUCAGCAUUUGUGUUAAAAUAUGGUUGUUUUCGUUGUUAUUGUAUCUACUUCUACAACUUCGCACGAAAUCUUGCUGAUUUCUGUAAAGUUUUCAUCAUUGAUAUAUUCAUUGUUAACAUAACUAUAAACGGAAUUAAAG